rnacentral:rRNA from 1 species
UACAGAGGGGGCAAGCGUUGUUCGGAAUUACUGGGCGUAAAGGGCGCGUAGGCGGCCUUCUAAGUCGAACGUGAAAUCCCCGGGCUCAACCCGGGAACUGCGUCCGAUACUGGAAGGCUUGAAUCCGGGAGAGGGAUGCGGAAUUCCAGGUGUAGCGGUGAAAUGCGUUGAUAUCAUCAGGAAUACCGGAGGCGAAGGCGGCUCACUGGGGGUUAUCUGACGCUGAGGAACGAAAGCCAGGGGAGCAAACGGG